rnacentral:rRNA from 1 species
ACUCCUACGGGAGGCAGCAGUGGGGAAUAUUGCACAAUGGGCGCAAGCCUGAUGCAGCCAUGCCGCGUGUGUGAAGAAGGCCUUCGGGUUGUAAAGCACUUUCAGUGGGAGGAAGGUUGAUGGUUAAUACCUAUCAGCUGUGACGUUACCCACAGAAGAAGCACCGGCUAACUCCGUGCCAGCAGCCGCGGUAAUACGGAGGGGUGCAAGCGUUAAUCGGAUUACUGGGCGUAAAGCGUGCGCAGGCGGUCUGUUAAGCGAGAUGUGAAAGCCCCGGGCUCAACCUGGGAACUGCAUUCG